UGGGGAAUAUUGGACAAUGGGCGAAAGCCUGAUCCAGCCAUGCUGCGUGUGUGAAGAAGGUCUUCGGAUUGUAAAGCACUUUAAGUUGGGAGGAAGGGCAUUAACCUAAUACGUUAGUGUUUUGACGUUACCGACAGAAUAAGCACCGGCGAACUCUGUGCCAGCAGCCGCGGUAAUACAGAGGGUGCAAGCGUUAAUCGGAAUUACUGGGCGUAAAGCGCGCGUAGGUGGUUUGUUAAGUUGGAUGUGAAAUCCCCGGGCUCAACCUGGGAACUGCAUUCAAAACUGACUGACUAGAGUAUGGUAGAGGGUGGUGGAAUUUCCUGUGUAGCGGUGAAAUGCGUAGAUAUAGGAAGGAACACCAGUGGCGAAGGCGACCACCUGGACUAAUACUGACACUGAGGUGCGAAAGCGUGGGGAGCAAACA
rnacentral:rRNA from 1 species